rnacentral:rRNA from 1 species
AGGUGGGACACAGGGAGGUAGUGACAAGAAAUAACAAUACAGGGCGAAUGUCUUGUAAUUGGAAUGAUGGUGACCCAAACCCUCACCAGAGUAGCAAUUGGAGGGCAAGUCUGGUGCCAGCAGCCGCGGUAAUUCCAGCUCCAAUAGCGUAUAUUAAACUUGUUGCAGUUAAAAAGCUCGUAGUUGUAUUUUUGCGUUGACGGUUUGACCAUUUGGUUGGUUAUUUCGUUUUCGCUUUUGGGAAUUUCCCUUUUUACUUUGAGAAAAUUAGAGUGUUUCAAGCAGACUUUUGUCUUGAAUACUUCAGCAUGGAAUAAUAGAGUAGGACUUUGGUUCUAUUUUGUUGGUUAUUGAACCUUAGUAAUGGUUAAUAGGAACGGUUGGGGGCAUUCGUAUUUAACUGUCAGAGGUGAAAUUCUUAGA